UUCUCUCUGAAGACAGCCUUCUCACAAACCUAACCCUGCGGAAUAACCGUAUCGGAGACGAGGGAGCCCGUCUGAUUGGUUUGGCUCUCUCAACAACUAGAUCUGCCAACAAGAACCUAAUUUACCUAAAUCUGGCUUUCAAUUGUAUCGGUGAUGCCGGUGCUGCACAUAUCGCACAGGGCCUGCGGUUCAAUCGUGCUUUGCUCGCGCUCUCACUGUGCAACAAUCAUAUCGGAGACCAGGGGGCUCGUCACAUGGCUGCGAUUCUUAGCGAGUUUGCUCUCACUCAUGACGAAAUUGUGGAGAAGAGGAAGAUGCUUCUGGAAAGAAAACAGCGUUCGUCCGUAGGGAUUGAAUCUGACCAGCCUGCAGACCAACUUUCCUCAGUAGCCAGCAGCAGUUCACAGAGCGUUGGCAAAGGGGCAAACCAAGGAAAACAAAAGGUAACAAACCAAAAAUCUUUGUAAUUGGUGUAACUCAUUUGGUAUCUGUGGUUUGUAAUUCAGUAAUUAAGUAAUGCUGCCAUCUUUUAACUUACAGAAAGAGAAGAAAGCUCCUAAGGAAGAGAAGUCUAACAAGAAAUCUUCUGAUAUAAAAGUGACUCCAAGUAAAGGUGGAAAUCCAGAGAAAGCACUGAAUGCGCAAAAGGACGUUCCUCUGAAGCUGCGUGUUCUAUGUAGCCCAGCACACGAAGACACGACAGUACCUUUAAUCAUUUGGUUGUUUUACUUUGUUUUUAUGGCAGGAUAAAUCAAAUACUGCCCAGUGAGCAAACAAAUUUAAAAAUCUAAAAUCUGGUCCUUUUCACACACUUCUUCCCUCCCUCUCAGCCGGUGGAGCCGGUGGAGCCCCUGCUGGACGAGCCCGUGCACUACAGGGACGGAGAGCUUUUUAUGUCUGGAAACAAGGCGCUCACCUCCCUCAACUUGGCAGGAAACAGAAUAACACAGAGGUCGCUGCCUCUUUUCCUGGAGUCACUCAUGAUGCAGGGGGAGGGACGUCGCCUGCUGCGUCUCUGCCUGCAGAGAAACUGCUUCCCACCAAGAUGUGAGUGUUAUGUGAAGAUACAGAAACUGAUGGACCUCAGGGAUCCACUCAAAAGAGCUUCUUAAUGAGCA